GAUAUUAUGAGUAAUAUCACAGUGGGUGUGCACAAAGUGUGUAAACCCUAUGAUAUUACUUGUAAUAUUUUAUGAAGGUAUGAC
rnacentral:miRNA from 1 species